ensembl:lncRNA
GGAGGCUAUAUACAGGGGUACCGGUACAGAGUCAAUGUGGAGGCUAUAUACAGGGGGUACCAGUACAGAGUCAAUGUGGAGGCUAUAUACAGGGGUACCAGUACAGAGUCAAUGUGGAGGCUAUAUACAGGGGGUACCGGUACAGAGUCAAUGUGGAGGCUAUAUACAGGGGGUACCAGUACAGAGUCAAUGUGGAGGCUAUAUACAGGGGGUACCAGUACAGAGUCAAUGUGGAGACUAUAUACAGGGGGUACCGGUACUGAGUCAAUGUGGAGGUUAUAUACAGGGGGUACCAGGUACAGAGUCAAUGUGGAGGUUAUAUACAGGGGGUACAGGUACAGAGUCAAUGUGGAGGUUAUAUACAGGGGGUACCGGUACAGAGGCAAUGUGGAGGCUAUAUACAGGGGGUACCGGUACAGAGUCAAUGUGGAGGUUAUAUACAGGGGGUACAGGUACAGAGUCAAUGUGGAG